rnacentral:rRNA from 1 species
CUCCAUGACGCUGGCGGCAGGCCUAACACAUGCAAGUCGAGCGGAAACGAGUUAUCUGAACCUUCGGGGAACGAUAACGGCGUCGAGCGGCGGACGGGUGAGUAAUGCCUAGGAAAUUGCCCUGAUGUGGGGGAUAACCAUUGGAAACGAUGGCUAAUACCGCAUAAUGCCUACGGGCCAAAGAGGGGGACCUUCGGGCCUCUCGCGUCAGGAUAUGCCUAGGUGGGAUUAGCUAGUUGGUGAGGUAAGGGCUCACCAAGGCGACGAUCCCUAGCUGGUCUGAGAGGAUGAUCAGCCACACUGGAACUGAGACACGGUCCAGACUCCUACGGGAGGCAGCAGUGGGGAAUAUUGCACAAUGGGCGCAAGCCUGAUGCAGCCAUGCCGCGUGUGUGAAGAAGGCCUUCGGGUUGUAAAGCACUUUCAGUCGUGAGGAAGGUAGUGUAGUUAAUAGCUGCAUUAUUUGACGUUAGCGACAGAAGAAGCACCGGCUAAC